CGGCGCUAGGUGUGCCCCAGGGCAAGAGGAGGCGCUGAGGAAUCUGGUGACCCCUACCCUGGGGGUGUGAUCACACCUCCCCUCUCCGCCCGCUCAGCACUGUCAAGCCAGGGCAGACAUUGGUUACACGUUACAGAGUCAGCAUGUAGCUGCUGCCCGUGGUAAAGGUAAUACCUACCCUGCAAAAAUCAUGAGCUAGGAAACCGCAUUACAGGGAAAAACCCUGUGGUCUCUGCACAACUUGCUGGUAUGCGGGCUGGCUCCCUUCGAGUGGGCUGUGGGUGUGAGUGCAUAAGAACAAGCAGCGCUGCCACCGUUUUUAAUACCCGUUUAAUGGGUGUAAUCACACAAUUUUACAGCCUAUUUUUAAAACGAGAUCAUAAAUACCCACGUCAUUAAAGUUUUCAAGACCAUCCCUUCUCAAAGAUGCAAGAGGGAGAACAGCUUAUAAAGAUGAAGGUGGGAGUUCCCGUUCUGGCACAUCAGAAACAAAUCUGACGAGGAACCAUGAGGUUGCGAGUUCGAUCCCUGGCCUCGCUCCGUGGGUUAGGGAUCUGGCGUUGCCGUGAGCUGUGGGGUAGGUCACAGACUCGGCUCGGAUCUGGCUUUGCUGUGGCCCUGGCGUAGGCCAGAGGCUACCGUUCCAUUUGGACCCCUAGCCUGGGAACCUCCAUAUGCCGUGGGUGUGGCCCCAAAAGGACAAAAAAGACAAUAAAUAAAUAAAGAUGAAGGUGAAACCAAAUUGAAAGGAAAAAAAAAGGGUUGUCUAAGCCGGAGAAAGCAACAAAGGGAAAGAGUAAAACGUCAAGGGAUUUAUGAGAUUGGUUUUCAAUUCUAAGAUCCAGACUCACGGAAAGAGUGGAAAUGACUCGGGUCACGGGCAGAUCUGUGGACACGGGCACGGCCACGGGUCAAAGACUGGGCCACCGGGCAUGGAUUUAUAAUGCUGAGAAUCAGAACUCCCGGCCCCAUCGCCUCAAUGCCUUCCUUCCUUCUAGCCAAGUAGCAUCUGCACUAACAGUAGCAUCUGCACCAAUAGAUGCCACUGCCUUCGGGGGUGCAAGAACCCUGAUCCUCUUUACCAAUAAUUUAAUACGACUUUGGUUUAACUGCAAGGAAAAGGAAUGAUUUUUAGGAUCAUUACUAUAUAUUGACAAUAUCCUAUUACUAGGAGCGGCCACUUUUUUCUUUUCCUUUUUUUUUUUUUUUUUUUUGGUCUUUUGUCUUUUGAGGGCCACACCCACAGCAUAUGAAGGUUCCCAGGCUAGGGGUCGAAUUGGAGCUGUAGCCGCCAGUCUACACCACAGCCACAGCAACGGGAGAUCCAAGCCGCAUCUGCGACCUACACCACAGCUCACAGCAACACCAGAUCCUUAACCCACCGAGUGAGGCCAGGGAUCGAACCUGCAACCUCAUGGUUCCUACUCAGGUUCGUUAACCACUGAGCCACAAAGGGAACUCCAAGAGUUGCCACUUAAUGAGCCCUCACUGUGUGCCGAGCACUAAGAGGUGCAUUUUUCACAGCUGCCGCUUCAUUCCCCCUGCAUGCAACCCCAGGAAGGGCAGCAUAACCCUCUUACAGUGGAGGAAGCUGAGCCCCGGGGGUGUUAGGUCAGCAUCUGAAAAUUAAGUAGAAUGCCCAAGGUCAUGCCCCACCCACAUCCCCUCAGCUUUCUUACUGUUAAAAGCACUAUUUCUUGCGAAGGGCUCUAGUGAGAUGUCACAGACACACAAUAAGCUGCACUUUUAAUGUUUUUCUAUUUUGUCCGCCCUGUGGUCUAUGGAGUUCCCGGACCAGGAAUCGAACCUGUGUCCCAACACUCCUAAGUUGCUGCUAUCCCAUUGCGCCACAGCGGGAACUCCAAGCUGUGCUUACUUAAAAGGUACAAUUUGAUGAGUUCUGAUGUAUGUACCUGAGACACGCUCACCACAGUCAGAGAGUAAAGCUCUCCCUCAGCCCCAAAGCCUACCCCGGACCUCAGAAUCAGGCUGGCAGCUGCAUAUCUGUGGCCUGUCACAAUCCGUGAGUCCGAAUGUUCUAGCAUCUUCUCGAAGUGGAAUCCCACAGAAUGCAUGAGAAUGCAUGGUUCUGUCUGUCAGCCUCACCACCAAGGGUUAUUCCACAGUG
rnacentral:lncRNA from 1 species